UACGGAGGGUGCGAGCGUUGUCCGGAAUCACUGGGCGUAAAGGGCGCGUAGGUGGCGCGGGCAGUCAACGGUGAAAGUUCGGGGCUCAACCCUGAAUCGGCCGUCGAUACUCCCGGGCUUGAGCACUGUAGAGGCAGAUGGAAUUCCGGGUGUAGCGGUGGAAUGCGUAGAGAUCCGGAAGAACACCGGUGGCGAAGGCGGCGACCUGGUCCGAUACUGACGCUGAGGCGCGAAAGCGUGGGGAGCAAACAGG
rnacentral:rRNA from 1 species